CUGGGGCUAAUACCCGAUAGGUGAAGAGGCCUGGAAUGGUUCUUCACCGAAAAGACGUUGAAACCAUGCUUUUCAACGUUGCCUAAGGAUGGGGCCGCGUCCGAUCAGGUUGUUGGUGGGGUAACGGCUCACCAAGCCUAUAACCGGUACGGGCCGUGAGAGCGGGAGCCCGGAGAUGGGCACUGAGACAAGGGCCCAGGCCCUACGGGGCGCAGCAGUCGCGAAAACUCCGCAAUGCGCGAAAGCGUGACGGGGCUACCCCGAGUGUCGUCCGCUGAGGAUGACUUUUCCCCGGUGUAAGGAGCCGGGGGAAUAAGGAGAGGGCAAGUCUGGUGUCAGCCGCCGCGGUAAUACCAGCUCUCCGAGUGGUAGGGACGAUUAUUGGGCUUAAAGCGUCCGUAGCCGGCCCGGCAAGUCUCCCGUUAAAUCCAGCGACCUAAUCGUUGGGCUGCAGGAGAUACUGUUGGGCUAGGGGGCGGGAGAGGCCGACGGUAUUCCCGGGGUAGGGGUGAAAUCCUAUAAUCCCGGGAGGACCACCAGUGGCGAAGGCUGUCGGCUAGAACGCGCUCGACGGUGAGGGACGAAAGCUGGGGGAGCGAACCGGAUUAGAUACCCGGGUAGUCCCAGCUGUAAACGAUGCGGGCUAGGUGUUGGGGUGGCUACGAGCCGCUUCAGUGCCGCAGGGAAGCCAUUAAGCCCGCCGCCUGGGGAGUACGGCCGCAAGGCUGAAACUUAAAGGAAUUGGCGGGGGAGCACCACAAGGCGUGAAC
rnacentral:rRNA from 1 species